CUUGGGUUUGGACACGGUCUGCUCGGACCAGGAGCCCAGAGUAAAGCUCAGUAGGCAUCGCGCCCAUAGGCCAGUCACUUCACUCAGUGGCUGCUACCGCCGACGCGGUAG